CGCGUAGGCGGACUCUUAAGUCGGGGGUGAAAGCCCAGGGCUCAACCCUGGAAUUGCCUUCGAUACUGAGAGUCUUGAGUUCGGAAGAGGUUGGUGGAACUGCGAGUGUAGAGGUGAAAUUCGUAGAUAUUCGCAAGAACACCAGUGGCGAAGGCGGCCAACUGGUCCGAUACUGACGCUGAGGCGCGAAAGCGUGGGAGCAAACA
rnacentral:rRNA from 1 species